GAUGAACGCUGGCGGCGUGCCUAAUUCAUGCAAGUCGAGCGAACGGACGAGAAGCUUGCUUCUCUGAUGUUAGCGGCGGACGGGUGAGUAACACGUGGAUAACCUACCUAUAAGACUGGGAUAACUUCGGGAAACCGGAGCUAAUACCGGAUAAUAUUUUGAACCGCAUGGUUCAAAAGUGAAAGACGGUCUUGCUGUCACUUAUAGAUGGAUCCGCGCUGCAUUAGCUAGUUGGUAAGGUAACGGCUUACCAAGGCAACGAUGCAUAGCCGACCUGAGAGGGUGAUCGGCCACACUGGAACUGAGACACGGUCCAGACUCCUACGGGAGGCAGCAGUAGGGAAUCUUCCGCAAUGGGCGAAAGCCUGACGGAGCAACGCCGCGUGAGUGAUGAAGGUCUUCGGAUCGUAAAACUCUGUUAUUAGGGAAGAACAUAUGUGUAAGUAACUGUGCACAUCUUGACGGUACCUAAUCAGAAAGACACGGCUAGCUACGUG
rnacentral:rRNA from 1 species